CUACUUACCUGGCAGGGGCGGUACCAUGGUCACAUAGGUGGUUUUGCCAGGGUGAGGCUCAUCCAUUCCACUCUGGAUGUGCUGGCCCCUGCCAUUUCUCCAAAUGAGGGACACGCGGAUACAUAAUUUGUGGUAAUAGGGGGCAGUGUUCACUCUGUCCUCUG